CCCGUACACUAAAAUGCACAGGUCGUGAGUUCGAUGAGUAGGGCGGGACACGUGACAUCCUGUCUGAAUAUGGGGGGACCAUCCUCCAAGGCUAAAUACUCCUGACUGACCGAUAGUGAACCAGUACCGUGAGGGAAAGGCGAAAAGAACCCCGGCGAGGGGAGUGAAAUAGAACCUGAAACCGUGUACGUACAAGCAGUGGGAGCACCUUCGUGGUGUGACUGCGUACCUUUUGUAUAAUGGGUCAGCGACUUAUAUUUUGUAGCAAGGUUAACCGUAUAGGGGAGCCGUAGGGAAACCGAGUCUUAACUGGGCGAAUAGUUGCAAGGUAUAGACCCGAAACCCGGUGAUCUAGCCAUGGGCAGGUUGAAGGUUGGGUAACACUAACUGGAGGACCGAACCGACUAAUGUUGAAAAAUUAGCGGAUGACUUGUGGCUGGGGGUGAAAGGCCAAUCAAACCGGGAGAUAGCUGGUUCUCCCCGAAAGCUAUUUAGGUAGCGCCUCGUGAACUCAUCUUCGGGGGUAGAGCACUGUUUCGGCUAGGGGGCCAUCCCGGCUUACCAAACCGAUGCAAACUCCGAAUACCGAAGAAUGUUAUCACGGGAGACACACGGCGGGUGCUAACGUCCGUCGUGAAGAGGGAAACAACCCAGACCGCCAGCUAAGGUCCCAAAGUCAUGGUUAAGUGGGAAACGAUGUGGGAAGGCAUAGACAGCCAGGAUGUUGGCUUAGAAGCAGCCAUCAUUUAAAGAAAGCGUAAUAGCUCACUGGUCGAGUCGGCCUGCGCGGAAGAUGUAACGGGGCUAAACCAUGC
rnacentral:rRNA from 1 species